AUCAUUACCUGUUCCGUCUAGGUUGUUAGUCUGUGAACUCGGGCGCUACGAUUCCGUUCUCCAUAUCACAGCAUUCAAGUUCUUGCCCAAGUCCUCAAGAUUCCAAUCUGAAACUGAACUCUCUCUGCUCAAUAAGGGUUUUCUACGUCAAUCUAGCACUCCUCUUCACAUGCUAAUCUAGCGUUUUCUUGCUCUCUGCACUUGAACAAUCGUUCCGGAACCAGGAAGCAUGUCAAAGCGGAAAUUUGGAUUCGAAGGGUUUGGAAUAAACCGCCAAACGACCUACAACUUCGAGCGAUCCCAAGCUCCGCAACGGCUUUACGUUCCUCCUUCGUCGCGUCACGGCCAUGACAACUAUGAAGACACCGACCUCGACAACAUCGAUUACGCAGAAAAUGACAACGCCAAGGGCACUUCAGCUGAUAAUAAUAAUGAUAGUGGUGCUGAAGAUGACGAAAUUGAUCCUCUGGACGCGUUCAUGCAGGGGAUACAUGAGGAGAUGAAGGCUGCCCCUCCUCCGAAGCCGAAAGAGAAGGCGGAGAAGUAUAGGGAUGACGAGGAUGAUGAUCCUAUGGAGAGCUUUUUGAAGGCGAAGAAGGACAUAGGCUUGACGCUAGCGGCGGAUGCUCUACACGCAGGUUAUAAUUCGGAUGAGGAGGUUUACGCGGCGGCGAAAGCUGUGGAUGGGGGGACGUUGGAGUAUGAUUCGGAUGAUAAUCCAGUGGUGGUUGAUAAGAAGAAGAUCGAGCCUAUUCCAGCUCUGGAUCAUAGCUCUAUUGAUUAUGAGCCAUUUAAUAAGGAUUUUUAUGAGGAGAAGCCAUCAAUAUCAGGGAUGAGUGAGCAGGAUGUUGCUGAAUACCGCAAGAGUUUGGCUAUCCGUGUUUCAGGUUUUGAUGUACCCAGGCCAAUAAAGACAUUUGAAGACUGUAGUUUUUCAUCACAAUUGAUGAAUGCUAUAGCAAAACAAGCUUAUGAAAAGCCUACAGCAAUACAGUGUCAAGCUUUGCCUAUUGUGCUUUCUGGGAGAGAUAUCAUUGGCAUAGCAAAAACUGGUUCUGGUAAGACUGCUGCUUUUGUACUUCCCAUGAUUGUACAUAUUAUGGAUCAACCUGAACUUCAGAAAGGAGAGGGUCCAAUUGGGGUGAUUUGUGCACCCACUAGAGAAUUAGCCCACCAAAUAUAUUUGGAAGCAAAGAAAUUUGCUAAAUCACAUGGGAUACGUGUCUCUGCCGUCUAUGGUGGGAUGUCAAAGCUUGAUCAGUUCAAAGAACUUAAGGCAGGAUGUGACAUUGUCGUUGCCACUCCAGGGAGAUUAAUAGACAUGUUAAAGAUGAAAGCACUGAAUAUGUCUAAGGCAACUUACUUGGUACUUGAUGAGGCUGAUCGAAUGUUUGACCUGGGAUUUGAGCCACAAGUGUGGUCUAUUGUUGGUCAGAUUAGGCCAGACCGCCAGACCUUACUCUUUUCAGCUACAAUGCCUCACAAGGUGGAAAAGUUAGCCAGGGAGAUUCUCACUGUAACUCUUAUGGGAUCAGUGAGAAUCUCCCUAGCUAACUUUUCCACCUUGUGAGGC
rnacentral:misc_RNA from 1 species